CCUUAGCCCAGAUAGCAGCGGCAUCCUUUUUUAUCCUGAACAUUUUUCAGGAUUCUGAAAAAUGUUCGGGAUAAAAAAGAUAUAGCGGAUAGCUGGAUCGAGC
rnacentral:sRNA from 1 species